rnacentral:misc_RNA from 1 species
AUGCUCUGUAUUGAAUGCGAGGUAACAUCGGUUCAUGCAGGAAGAGAGACUAUCAGUUUUUCGCUAACCUUCGAUAUGGAUGAUUCAAAGUACUCGGGACGAAAUGACUUCGAAUGGGCAGUGAAAUUGAAUCGUGCGGGUUUGAAUUUGAUUGGGAUAUGGCCUGACCCGGAAGAAAAUUCCAGAGAAAAAUUAAUGAGCCAUAUCCGUGUAUUCAUUACAUUUGUGCUGGUGAUAAGUUUAUUGGUGCCUUCUAUACAUUCAUUGAUUAAAACUCAUGCUGAUAUCAUGUUGACAACAGACAAUUUACAAUAUACUUUACCGGUUCUUAGCACCAUUAUAAAACUCUCAAUAUUUUGGUGGAAAAAAAAAGCACUUGCCUCGAUCGUAAAGAUGAUUGUCGAAGACUGGUUAAACUCAAAAACCAUCUAUGAAAAAAAUGAGAUGAUAAAAUGGGCGCUACGUGCACGUAUAAUUAUUACAUGCACGUAUCUUGUAAUAACAGUGGCAUUUAUAAUUUUUUUUGGCAUGCCUAUUUUCGGAAAAUCAAUGGCAUUGACACCGAAUAUCACGGAUUCCGGCAAAUCAAUGCUCAUGCCAACCUAUUACAUUUAUGAUGUAACGAAGAAACCGCAGUAUGAAUUAACAUUUAUUAGUCAAUGCAUCUCUAUCAGUACUGUUGCCGUGAUUUAUACAGGAAUCGAUAACUUUUUUGCAUUAUGUGUUUUUCAUAUUUGCGGACAAUUGAAUAUUAUGAGGAGUCGUCUCAAACAUAGUCACGGAAAUUUUCGUACCUUAUUAAAGAAUAGUGUGAUAUAUCAUAUUCGAUUGCUCAAAACUAUAAAUACUAUAGAAGAUACGUACAAUGUGAUACUUUUAAUAUUGUUUGUAUAUUUUGGACUAAUGUUUGCAUUCUGCGGAUUCCUAUUAAUUAUUCUAUUUGAAGUCGAAGAGAACAAUGUAUCGUUCACGCGUUUGUUAUUUCUUUUCCUUGUUAUUAUCUCUAUGCUCGUACAUAUGGGUAUUUAUUGCGCAGUUGGUGAGGCACUAAUAUCUGAAUGCAAUGGAAUUUAUUAUGCGGUCUACGAUUUCGAAUGGUACUAUUUGGAUCCAAAAGAAGCGAAGGAUUUAAUCCCAUUUAUGAUUAAAGUUAGUGAGCCUGUAUAUUUUACUGCUGGAAACGUGUUUCCAGUGACAAUGGCUAUGCUUUGCAAUUUGAUAAAGACAUCGGCCGGUUACAUAUCCGUUUUACUUGCAACGAAAGAAAAUUAAAAUUUCAUUUAAGAAUAAAUUCUUUUUAGCGUUUCCUAGAACCAUAACAGUAAUAAACGACACUAUUUGGAUAAAAGUCAGUUAUUGUAUAUAUUGUAAUGGUACUUUUACAAAUAAUUUAUGAAGUGGAGCCGAUAUAUUAUCUGCAAUGUGUCUUACACUAUCAUGCUUUUAGAAAAAUAAGAAUGUAUAAUAAAUAUUAUUAUAUUAUAAUGCAUAAUUCUAAUCAACUAAUGUUACAUAAGUAGAAUUAGUGUUAAUGUUUCCGUUGCAUUAAAUACAAAAUAAUAUAAACCACA